AUUGAACGCUGGCGGCAGGCCUAACACAUGCAAGUCGAGCGGAUGAAGGGAGCUUGCUCCUGGAUUCAGCGGCGGACGGGUGAGUAAUGCCUAGGAAUCUGCCUGGUAGUGGGGGAUAACGUCCGGAAACGGGCGCUAAUACUGCAUACGUCCUGAGGGAGAAAGUGGGGGAUCUUCGGACCUCACGCUAUCAGAUGAGCCUAGGUCGGAUUAGCUAGUUGGUGGGGUAAAGGCCUACCAAGGCGACGAUCCGUAACUGGUCUGAGAGGAUGAUUAGUCACACUGGAACUGAGACACGGUCCAGACUCCUACGGGAGGCAGCAGUGGGGAAUAUUGGACAAUGGGCGAAAGCCUGAUCCAGCCAUGCCGCGUGUGUGAAGAAGGUCUUCGGAUUGUAAAGCACUUUAAGUUGGGAGGAAGGGCAGUAAGUUAAUACCUUGCUGUUUUGACGUUACCAACAGAAUAAGCACCGGCUAACUUCGUG
rnacentral:rRNA from 1 species